rnacentral:rRNA from 1 species
CUAACAUAAUAUGGCGGUUACAAUUCACUAGAGAAACUCGCUUCAUAAUCGACAACCCUCGUUAAUUUUAACUUAAUUUCUAUAGCCUUUAUACCGCCGUUUCAGAAAUAAAAACCAAUUCAAUAUCUUAAUAAUCCCCACUAAAAAAUCAGGUCAAGGUGAAGCCAACAAUUAAGAAGAAGUAAGUUACAUUAAAAAUAAUUUAAGAAAGAAUACUAAAAACUAAACAGAAAGAGAAUCUAUAAAUAAAUUUUAAUCAAAAACUAAAAUCGAAACAAAACACUGUAACGC